AGACGUGGUCUCCAAAGUCCAACUGUCAAGGACCCAGAUAAGAGACAGGAGGCUUGAGGUCUGCCACUGAAGCAGUGGGCUGGGUCAGUCCUUGACAUUUAAACAAGAGCAAGCACUAGUGCAAAUCUGCAUUUCCUUUUGUUAAGCAGCUUUUCCUUGUCCUCAGGUCCUUACCCAAGCAGCCCUUUGUCGUUGGAAAGACAGAACCUGGAAGCUGUUUCCUAGCUCAUCCCCAGGACCCAGGCUCAGCCAACAGUCACUCCUGAAUCAGCCCUGAGCCACAGGUCAUUUCCAAGGAGGCAUGAACUUGAGGCCAGAUACGGAGCUCGGAGAAAUCAGACUGCAGUUAGCACCAACUGUUGCUUUAUGGCUGCACUUUUAUUUGCUUUAGCCCUUCAGCUUUUCCGGCACCUGCUGGCAAUCAGGUUGCCUCCUCUCUGCCCGGAACCAUACCUCAAAUUGCUGCCCAAAUUCCAGAGCAGGGAAAAACCCGUUUAGAUACACCUGGGAGAAGAAAUGGCGAACACAUGGUGUGUGUGCGGCCUCUCAUCCUCCUGUGACCGUGGAAGACAUCAACAACCCAUACUGAUCUCGGCUUCGGAGUCUUUUCUACGUGCGGGGCACCUGGGCUGCUCAGUCGGUUAAGUGUCUGACUCUUAACUUUGGCUCAGGCCAUGAUCUCAUGGGUUCAUGAAGUUGAGCCCCACAUCGGGCUCUGAGCUGACAGCCUGCUUUGAGAUUCACCCUCUCCCUCUCCCUUCUGCCCCCCUCCCACUCACACAUGGGUACACACUCUCUCUCUAAAUAAACUUUUAAAAAAGAAUCUUUUCAAUGUACUGCUUUAAGCAGAAGCAAGCAAUUUCCACUGCUGUCUUAGAGAUUUACUGAAGAAGAAAAUAGCAGACACUCGCCAUUCUAGGAAAUACCGUUAGUGUGAUACCCCACCUGAGGGGUUUCUCUUGCCCCCCCGGGUCAGGCUCGGAGAGUCAGGGAGUUAAUUUCCCUAGGAGCAGCUCUCAGCUAGUAUGGUUGAGAGUCUGAGGAUCCUACCCUGGCUUUCUCAUCUUAGGUAUUUUUUUUUUUUUUUAUAAAUCUUUUUUAUUUUUUUAUUUUUUUUAUUUUUUAAUUUUAUUUUAUUUUUU